GUACACGCUGUGACUAGCAUAUCAAUAAGCGGAGGAAAAGAAACUAACAAGGAUUCCCCUAGUAACGGCGAGUGAAGCGGGAAGAGCUCAAAUUUGAAAUCUUAAAGGGUUUCCCUUUACGAAUUGUAGUUUAAAGAAGUGUUUUCUGUUGAGGUUUUGGUAAAAGUUCUUUGGAAUAGGACAUCAUAGAGGGUGAGAAUCCCGUAUUUGACCUUUACUUUCAACUUUGUGAUACACUUUCAAAGAGUCGGAUUGUUUGGGAAGGCAGUCCAAAAUGGGUGGUAAAUUUCAUCUAAAGCUAAAUAUUGGCGAGAGACCGAUAGCGAACAAGUACCGUGAGGGAAAGAUGAAAAGAACUUUGAAAAGAGAGUUAAACAGUACGUGAAAUUGUCAAAAGGGAAGCGUUUGACACCAGUGUUGUUUUUCUGAAAAUCAAUUAAAGAACUGUUUAUGCUAAGUUGUUUAGACUUUAUCAGCUAACUGUUUAGUUUUGAGCUUUUCUUUAAUGCACUUUUCAGUUAACAAGUCAACAUCAAUUUCUUUUGCUGUAAAAAAGCUUGAGGAAGGUGGCUUGAGAUUCGUCUUAAGUGUUUAUAGCCUCUUGCCUAUGCAGUCGGAAAGAUUGAGGUCUGCAGCGUAGAUCCUUCGGGGCUAAAUGCAUUUGUGCUAAGUUAUAGCAUUUUAUAGACAACUUGUUGACUAUGAUUUGUCUUGUAGCUUACUCGCUUAUGUUAUUUUACCUACGCUUAGGAUGUUGACAGCAGUAUAGACUGU
rnacentral:rRNA from 1 species